CGGAGCGUGGCGCAGCCUGGUAGCGCACUUGCAUGGGGUGCAAGGGGCCGCAAGUUCGAAUCUUGUCGCUCCGA
rnacentral:tRNA from 1 species